AGAGUUUGAUUCUGGCUCAGGAUGAACGCUGGCGGCGUGCUUAACACAUGCAAGUCGAACGAAGCAGCUUCUUGCUUGCAAGAAAGCUGACUUAGUGGCGGACGGGUGAGUAACGCGUGGGUAACCUGCCUCAUACGAGGGGGAUAACAGUUGGAAACGACUGCUAAGACCGCAUAACCCGCUAGUGUCGCAUGACACGGAACGGAAAAAUAUUUAAUUUAACGAAGUUAAAAUUUGGUAUGAGAUGGGCCCGCGUCUGAUUAGCUAGUUGGUAAGGUAACGGCUUACCAAGGCGACGAUCAGUAGCCGACUUGAGAGAGUGAUCGGCCACAUUGGGACUGAGACACGGCCCAAACUCCUACGGGAGGCAGCAGGUGGGGAAUAUUGGACAAGUGGGGGAAACCCUGAUCCAGCCGACGCCGCGUGAGUGAAGAAGUUAUUUCGGUAUAGUAAAGCUCUAUCAGCGAGGGAAGAUAAUGACAGUACCUGACUAAGAACGCCCCGGCUAACUACGUGCCAGCAGCUGC
rnacentral:rRNA from 1 species